rnacentral:rRNA from 1 species
UACUAGAGUAGCACUCGCAUAUCAAUAAGCGGAGGAAAAGAAACUAACAAGGAUUCCCUUAGUAAUGACGGGUGAAGCGGGAAGAGCUCAAAUUUGAAAUCUUAAAGGGUUUCCCUUUACGAAUUGUAGUUUAAAGAAGUGUUUUCUGUUGAGGUUUUGGUAAAAGUUCUUUGGAAUAGGACAUCAUAGAGGGUGAGAAUCCCGUAUUUGACCUUUACUUUCAACUUUGUGAUACACUUUCAAAGAGUCGGAUUGUUUGGGAAUGCAGUCCAAAAUGGGUGGUAAAUUUCAUCUAAAGCUAAAUAUUGGCGAGAGACCGAUAGCGAACAAGUACCGUGAGGGAAAGAUGAAAAGAACUUUGAAAAGAGAGUUAAACAGUACGUGAAAUUGUCAAAAGGGAAGCGUUUGACACCAGUGUUGUUUUUCUGAAAAUCAAUUAAAGAACUGUUUAUGCUAAGUUGUUUAGACUUUAUCAGCUAUCUGCUUAGUUUUGAGCUUUUCUUUAAUGCACUUUUCAGUUAACAAGUCAACAUCAAUUUCCUUUGCUGUAAAAAAGCUUGAGGAAGGUGGCUUGAGAUUCGUCUUAAGUGUUUAUAGCCUCUUGCCUAUGCAGUCGGAGAGAUUGAGGUCUGCAGCGUAGAUCCUUCGGGGCUAAAUGCAUUUGUGCUAAGUUAUAGCAUUUUAUAGACAACUUGUUGACUAUGAUUUGUCUUGUAGCUUACUCGCUUAUGUUAUUUUACCUACGCUUAGGAUGUUGAACUCUAUCACACACAG